GAAACCCAGGAUGAGUCCGCUGUGUUGUGGUUGGAUGAAAUUCAAGGCGGAAUCUGGCAGUCCAACAAAGACACCCAGGAAGCACAGAGGUUUGCCGUCGGAAUCUUUGCCAUUAAUGAGGCUGUGCAGAGUGGCGAUGUCGGUAAAACGCUGAGUGCCCUCCGUUCCCCGGACGUCAGCCUGUACGGAGUCAUCCCUGAGUGUUGCGAAACGUACCAGAGUGACCUCGCAGAAGCCAGGAAGAAAAAACUGGCAGCAGGUGA